AUGAACCCUCGAAUCCCGCCGCCGUUCCCGCCGGCAUGGACGGCCGAGCCGAGAGCUCCAUGGCCACCAUGGCCACGGCAGCCGAGCCCUACUCGAGUUAGCCCAGGGCCGCCUUACGCUUCGCGUCGGCGUGCUGGCCUGUGGGCAGGGCCAGCAAGGAGGCGCAGCUCCCGCGCUGCCUCUUGGGCAGGGCGACUGCGUCGGACAGCGCGACGGGCAGCCUCCAUGGACGACGACAAGCAUGCCCUUGCCUUCUUCUUCACGCAGGUGUGCUCAUUCAUGGCGUCGGCGUGUCCGAGCACUCAUACGUGCUCAAGGUGA
rnacentral:rRNA from 1 species